UACAGAGGUCUCAAGCGUUGUUCGGAUUCAUUGGGCGUAAAGGGUGCGUAGGCGGCGCGGUAAGUCGGGUGUGAAAUCUCGGGGCUUAACUCCGAAACUGCAUACGAUACUGCCGUGCUUGAGGACUGGAGAGGAGACUGGAAUUUGCGGUGUAGCGGUGAAAUGCGUAGAUAUCGUAAGGAAGACCAGUGGCGAAGGCGGGUCUCUGGACAGUUCCUGACGCUGAGGCACGAAGGUCAGGGGAGCAAACGGG
rnacentral:rRNA from 1 species